rnacentral:rRNA from 1 species
UACGUAGGGGGCAAGCGUUGUCCGGAUUUACUGGGCGUAAAGAGCGUGUAGGCGGCCACGCAGGUCCGUUGUGAAAACUGGAGGCUCAACCUCCAGCUGUCGACGGAAACCGUAUGGCUAGAGUCCGGAAGAGGAGAGUGGAAUUCCUGGUGUAGCGGUGAAAUGCGCAGAUAUCAGGAAGAACACCAAUGGCGAAGGCAGCUCUCUGGGACGGUACUGACGCUGAGACGCGAAAGCGUGGGGAGCAAACAGG